CCUACGGGGGGCUGCAGUGGGGAAUAUUGCACAAUGGGCGCAAGCCUGAUGCAGCAACGCCGCGUGAGUGAUGAAGGCCUUCGGGUCGUAAAACUCUGUCCUAUGGGAAGAAAAAAAUGACGGUACCAUAGGAGGAAGCCCCGGCUAACUACGUGCCAGCAGCCGCGGUAAUACGUAGGGGGCAAGCGUUAUCCGGAAUCACUGGGCGUAAAGGGUGCGUAGGUGGCUGAUCAAGCCAGAGGUGAAAGGCAUUGGCUCAACCAAUGUAAGCCUUUGGAACUGAUUAGCUUGAGUGCAGGAGAGGUAAGUGGAAUUCCUAGUGUAGAGGUGAAAUUCGUAGAUAUUAGGAGGAACACCAGUGGCGAAGGCGACUUACUGGACUGUAACUGACACUGAGGCACGAAAGCGUGGGGAGCGAACAGGAUUAGAUACCCCAGUAGUC
rnacentral:rRNA from 2 species